rnacentral:rRNA from 1 species
UACGAAGGGGGCUAGCGUUGCUCGGAAUCACUGGGCGUAAAGCGCACGUAGGCGGACUCUUAAGUCGGUGGUGAAAUCCUGGAGCUCAACUCCAGAACUGCCUUCGAUACUGAGAGUCUUGAGUCCGGGAGAGGUGAGUGGAACUGCGAGUGUAGAGGUGAAAUUCGUAGAUAUUCGCAAGAACACCAGUGGCGAAGGCGGCUCACUGGCCCGGUACUGACGCUGAGGUGCGAAAGCCAGGGGAGCGAACGGG